UCCACCCUCAUGAAUGGGACUAAUGCCCUUAUGAAAGAGGCUUGAGGGAGUCUGCCCCGUUUCCAUGUGAGGACACCUAGAAAGCAACAUCUAUGAGGAAUGAGCUCUAACCAGACACCAAAUCUGCUGGGAGCUUUAGCUUGAACUUCCCAGCUCCACAACAGUAAGCAACAAAUUACUAUUAUUUUUUUUCUUUCCAGAAUAAAUGAAUUAUGAUAUUACCAGGGUCAAAGUGAAUUUGACUUUCAAUUUUAUACAAUCCAUCAAUGACUAUUCUCUUUUUAAAGGCUUGGCAGCUCUUUGGGGGUUGGAAGAAGACCAUGAAGCUCUAAGUGCUUCAGAGGAAUGGGGUUGCCAAAACAGAUGUGAGAGACACAGAGAGGAGGCUGGGCCAGUGCUGAAGUGUGUUUUAUUAGGAUUUACUAAAGCAACGUCUUCAAAGGGGUGUUUUAGAAGAAGAGGUUGGUCGGAACCAGAAAAUGCAUUCCUGGGGUGAUCUCUGGGAUACAUCCAACUGACCCUCCGAAAAGGUCAGCCACAUGUAUUUAAUCGUUAUACUACAUCACCACACUCCAAAGUCAGGGUGGAGCUUAUCUACCAAAUCUCAGCCUUCCAAGCCAACAGAGUUACUUUCUGAUCCCUACUAUGUAUCACACUAGAAA